AUUGAACGCUGGCGGCAGGCUUAACACAUGCAAGUCGAGCGGGGAAAGGUAGCUUGCUACCUGACCUAGCGGCGGACGGGUGAGUAAUGCUUAGGAAUCUGCCUAUUAGUGGGGGACAACAUCUCGAAAGGGAUGCUAAUACCGCAUACGUCCUACGGGAGAAAGCAGGGGACCUUCGGGCCUUGCGCUAAUAGAUGAGCCUAAGUCGGACUAGCUAGUUGGUGGGGUAAAGGCCUACCAAGGCGACGAUCUGUAGCGGGUCUGAGAGGAUGAUCCGCCACACUGGGACUGAGACACGGCCCAGACUCCUACGGGAGGCAGCAGUGGGGAAUAUUGGACAAUGGGGGGAACCCUGAUCCAGCCAUGCCGCGUGUGUGAAGAAGGCCUUUUGGUUGUAAAGCACUUUAAGCGGGGAGGAGGCUACCGAGAUUAAUACUCUUGGAUAGUGGACGUUACUCGCAGAAUAAGCACCGGCUAACUCUGUG
rnacentral:rRNA from 1 species